GUCCAUUCAUUUAUAAGAAUCCAUUUUCAAUACUCUAAAUAGUCGAAAUAAACAGUUUCAAUACUAAAGUAAAACAUAUUUAUAAUUUUACAGAGGAGAGAAAACUUAGCCCCUGUUUCAUCAUCAUCACACAAGAAAACUUGCAGCAUCAGUAAAAUCACAAUAAGUAAAUAAAGUUCAUAAACCCCCAAAUUGAUCUCAUUUAUUUAGAGCAUUCUUUUCGGAAGUUAACCCUGGAACCACUGACGUGACAUCAUCAAAGUAAAGUAAUCAUCGAUAAAGACUUUCGGAUCGAAGGUUCUCGACAAUCUCAAUUUCUCAUUGGUCCCCAUUCUCAAGCAGCUUCUCCUUAUCGUACCAGAAGCUCAUACAACAAUGAGGAAAUUUAAG
rnacentral:lncRNA from 1 species